AACGAACGCUGGCGGCAUGCCUAACACAUGCAAGUCGAACGAGACCUUCGGGUCUAGUGGCGCACGGGUGCGUAACGCGUGGGAACCUGCCCUUAGGUUCGGAAUAACUCCCCGAAAGGGGUGCUAAUACCGGAUAAUGUCUUCGGACCAAAGAUUUAUCGCCUUUGGAUGGGCCCGCGUUGGAUUAGCUAGUUGGUAGGGUAAAAGCCUACCAAGGCGACGAUCCAUAGCUGGUCUGAGAGGAUGAUCAGCCACACUGGGACGGAGACACGGCCCAGACUCCUACGGGAGGCAGCAGUGGGGAAUAUUAGACAAUGGGCGAAAGCCUGAUCCAGCAAGGCCGCGUGAGGGAUGAAGGCCUUAGGGUUGUAAAGCUCUUUUACCCGGGAUGAUAAUGACAGUACCGGGAGAAUAAGCUCCGGCUAACUCCGUGC
rnacentral:rRNA from 1 species